rnacentral:rRNA from 1 species
UACAGAGGGUGCGAGCGUUAAUCGGAAUUACUGGGCGUAAAGCGCGCGUAGGCGGCUUUGCAAGUCGGGUGUGAAAUCCCCAGGCUUAACCUGGGAACUGCAUUCGAGACUGCAUUGCUAGAGUAUGGGAGAGGGAAGUGGAAUUUCCGGUGUAGCGGUGAAAUGCGUAGAGAUCGAAAAGAACACCAACGGCGAAAGCACUCUGCUGGGCCGACACUGACACUGAGAGACGAAAGCUAGGGGAGCGAAUGGG